rnacentral:lncRNA from 1 species
AGUUUUGCAACCAGAUUUGUGCAAGAUUUCUUGCUUAAAGAAGCAAUAGCAUUUCUAGUGGCAAGAAAGAUGGGUAUAUCAUUAAAAACAGCCGAUGAGCUUUGCCAGCAAACAGAGAUGCUAAAAAGAUAAGGUGGGAAAAGCCAGACUUCAAUAGCUUCAUCAGACAUUACCACAAUCCAUGAAAAAAUAAUUGUUUUUGGGAGUGAUAGAAUUAUUAGAAGAAAAACAUAAAUUAUCUUUUGAGUUGUUAAAUUAUCAGAAAUGCAUUUUGAGUGGUUGAAUUAUAAGAUUAUAAUUCUAGUAACUAAAGUGCAGGAUUGGAAACGAAGAAGAGAUUGCAACAGACAUUAGCGUUACAUGUACCAUCCACAGAGUUUGUCAAGUUUUGAGAACAAUGUAUUAGUUUAUUCAUGCCACUGUAACAACCAUGUGCUGUGAAAAAAUUUUGAAUAAAAGUUGUAAUUUGCAAUAAAAAUAAUAA